rfam:Triticum urartu cultivar G1812 contig558581, whole genome shotgun sequence.
CAAAUACUCCCUCCGUCCGGAAAUACUUGUCAUCAAAAUGGAUAAAAGGAAAUGUAUCUAGAUGUAUUUUAGUUUUAGAUACAUCUCUUUUUAUCCAUUUUUAUGAAAAAUAUUUUGGGAUGGAGGGAGUAGAAA